CAUUUAUUAUAAAUCAUAACUGAAUUAAAAUUGAAGUAUAGAACCGCUAUAGCAUUUUUGGGUCAGCGACACUAUGUUCCACUAUUCAUGAUUGACAACUAAUUGUAAGAUUUUUCAUUGUACUUGAAAGACACUUGCAGCAACCAACAUGAAAGAUGAAGACCUCACUGAAAGCAUGCAAAAGCUACUUAUUGUUAUGCAAAGACUGGAUGAGAAAAUUGCUCCAAUGCUGGAGGAAGAUGGGGAGCUCUUCAAUUCAAGGUAAGCUCAGAGAAUAGAACUCUCGAUUUUUUUUUGUCUGCCCACAUGGCUAUUUCAAUAACUGAGUUGCCAUGGGAAAGAGUUAUUGGUGAUCUUGUUCUGUCAAUAUGCUCCAGGACGAACAAAGCUUAGACACAGUUCUAUACAUUGUAUUUUUAUUGUUGUCCAAUUACAACAUGACACUUGUGUUGGAAAAUGAGAAGUUGAUAGAAGUUAUAACAUUAUUAAAAAUAUUUAAAAAGUGGGUACCCGAUUUUGUCAUUGCUGCUGGUCUUGCUUUUUGGUCAUUUUACCGCAUGCAUUUGUUAUUCACUUGGAUUAUUUGUCUGCAUUAGGUGGGGCUAUCUAUCUCGUGCUGGACUGUGGGAUAAAAGUCACUUGAUGAGACAAAUUGAAAAGUAAGUGCUUUCUUUUUUAUGCCACUGAUCUCUAUUUUAGCGUGAUUACUCUCUGAAUUCUGAAUUAAUUGAGUUUAAAUUUAUUAUGGCAGAUAUGCUGAUAUUUAUACAUCUAGAGUGUCAAACUUUUUAUAUUACACCCCCUUCAUGUAUUUCCGCUCUCAGGAACAGGUAUCCAGAUAACCUUCUCUUUACCUUGUCAUUUAUAGCCAUGAACGAUUAAGUUAUUAUUGUGUUGUUUGAAUUGACUUUGAUUUGUUUCUGUAGAAUCUUGCGCAUGACUCAUACUCACACUACUGUUCAGCACUCAAUGAUGACUUUUCUUCUUAGGGAAAAAUUGCGGGAAGAAAAACGGAUUAGUAUAAGAAAUAAAGAAUCUGUUGUUGACAUUGUUAGCAGAUGUAUCAUUGUAACAGUAUCCAAUGCUGUGAUGAUGAUGAUACCUUGUAUUAUUUGAAACUCAUAUAAUAUCCACGGAAGACUCAUGUAGCAUUUUUACCUUGGCCAAGUGGUGCUAAGUGGCCCCUGGUUAUAGGAGAGCAAAGCCCCACCAGGCAAAGAAGGGAAACACAAAUGGCUAGAGAUUUUGUUUCCAACUGAUUGUGAAUUUGGUGUUGAUUUCAGCAAUUUACAUGAUGUAAUCAGAUUGACAAUUUGGCAAUGCAUUGUUAGAAAUCAUUGAACAAGUUCGUAUUCCCAUAUGUUUGGUUUAAAUUCAAAGUUGAUGUUAACCAAUUUCUAUUUGAUUAUUUUAUGUUUUUUCUCCUAUGAGAGUGUGAACAACAAAAAAACCUAGGACUAGCAAUUAAUUCAUGAAAUGUAAAAAUUGAAUCAAACAACUGAAAUGAAAUCAAUUGCAACCCUUAAUAAUGAGAAAAAAUAAGUGAAAAUGGAUAGAAAAAGCGAAUCAAUUGCAAACCCAAAUUGUCGAUGAACCCUUGCUCCACCACUACCAUGGUCGACGAAAUGAUGCAACACCGGCGCGAAGCCUUCUGAACUUACAGAUCUAGAAUCUACGGUGUUGGUACUUCUGCGGGUGAAGGUCUCAGGGUUUGAUAUUCUGGACAUGGUGAUCUGUAACCUGGGUUUGGGUGUGACCUCAGAAACCCGUAUGUUGAUAAAGAACAUAAAUUAUUUGAUGUGUUGAAGUUUUUACUUUGAAGGGGUGACCACCGCACCGGAACCCUGCGGUAGAAGAUGAUUGAUGAUUAUUAUAUAAGAAACUUUUAUUUGAACUUUCAUGCUUUUAGACAGUUUGGUUUAAGCCCUAGAGGCUUAAACUUAUUGGUUACCUUGACUUUUCUUGGUAUUUACUUGAUGUUUUGUUUAAUAGACCUAUGGCUUUUUAUUGUUAAUUAUGAGUGUUAUGAAUUUUGAGUUGUUUUAAAUAAUUUUUUUAGCAUUUGUAUAUGCAUUUAUUAUAAAUCAUAACUGAAUUAAAAUUGAAGUAUAGAACCGCUAUAGCAUUUUUGGGUCAGCGACACUAUGUUCCACUAUUCAUGAUUGACAACUAAUUGUAAGAUUUUUCAUUGUACUUGAAAGACACUUGCAGCAACCAACAUGAAAGAUGAAGACCUCACUGAAAGCAUGCAAAAGCUACUUAUUGUUAUGCAAAGACUGGAUG
rnacentral:lncRNA from 1 species